rnacentral:rRNA from 1 species
UACGGGGGGGGCAAGCGUUGUUCGGAAUUACUGGGCGUAAAGGGCUCGUAGGCGGCCAACUAAGUCAGACGUGAAAUCCCUCGGCUUAACCGGGGAACUGCGUCUGAUACUGGAUGGCUUGAAUCCGGGAGAGGGACGCGGAAUUCCAGGUGUAGCGGUGAAAUGCGUAGAUAUCUGGAGGAACACCGGUGGCGAAGGCGGCAUCCUGGACCGGCAUUGACGCUGAGGAGCGAAAGCCAGGGGAGCAAACGGG